rnacentral:rRNA from 1 species
AGGACUAACGCUGGCGGCGUGCCUAACACAUGCAAGUCGAACGAGGGGUAGCAAUACCCCUAGUGGCAGACGGGUGAGUAACACGUAGUCAACCUACCUCUUAAUGGGGGAUAACUAGCCGAAAGGUUAGCUAAUACCGCAUACGAUCGUCGAGUGGCAUCACACGACGAUGAAAGGAGCAAUCCGUUGAGAGAGGGGACUGCGUCCCAUUAGUUAGUUGGUGGGGUAAUGGCCUACCAAGACUCCGAUGGGUAGCUGGCUUGAGAGAGCGACCAGCCACACUGGAACUGAGACACGGUCCAGACUCCUACGGGAGGCAGCAGUGAGGAAUUUUCCGCAAUGGGGGAAACCCUGACGGAGCGACGCCGCGUGUGGGAAGAAGGCCUUCGGUCGUAACCACUGUCGAGGGGACGAUAUUGACGGUACCCCUGGAGGAAGCCCGGCUAACUACGUGCCAGCAGCCGC